CCGUAGUACUCCCAAACUUUAUAUCCGUAUUCAACGUUUGACCGUCCGUCUUAUUUAAAAAAAUACAAAAAAAAAUUAAAAAAGAUAAGUCACGCAUAAAGUAUUAAUCAUGUUUUAUCAUAUAAUAAAAAUAAAAAUACUAAUUAUAAAAAAAUUUCAUAUAAGACGGACAGUCAAACAUUGCCACGAAAAUAUAAGGUUUGUCUUUUU
rnacentral:pre_miRNA from 1 species